rnacentral:Y_RNA from 1 species
GGCUGGCCUUUGUGCAGUGGUGUUUACAACUGAUUGAUCACAAUCAGUUACAGAUUCCUUUGUUCCUUCUCCACUCCCACUGCUUCACUUGAGUAGCCUAAA